rnacentral:ncRNA from 1 species
GUUUUUGACACAGUACCCGUAGCGGAGAGAACAGGCAGAUCGUAAAGACGCCGUAAAUCCCUCCCUGGAGGCUCGAGCCGCGCCAUCCCUGGCGCGGA